rnacentral:rRNA from 1 species
AUUGAACGCUGGCGGCAGGCCUAACACAUGCAAGUCGAGCGGAGCGGCGGACGGGUGAGUAAUGCCUAGGAAUCUGCCUGGUCGCGGGGGAUGACGAUCAGUAACGGGAGCUAAUACCGCAUACUAUCAGAUGAGGCUAGGCCGGAUUAGCUAGUUGGUGGGGUAAAGGCCUACCAAGGCGAAGAUCCGUAACUGGUCUGAGAGGAUGAUCAGUCACACUGGAACUGAGACACGGUCCAGACUCCUACGGGAGGCAGCAGUGGGGAAUAUUGGACAAUGGGCGAAAGCCUGAUCCAGCCAUGCCGCGUGUGUGAAGAAGGUCUUCGGAUUGUAAAGCACUUUAAGUUGGGAGGCGUUACCAACAGAAUAAGCACCGGCUAACUUCGUGCCAGCAGCCGCGGUAAUAC